GGGCACUUAGCUCAGGUGGUAGAGCGCCAUCUUCACACGGUGGAAGUCGCAGGUUCAAGUCCUGCAGUGCCCACCA
rnacentral:tRNA from 1 species